AUCCACUUGACUUCUUUUUUUUUUCCUUUUUCUUUGUUUUUUCCUUUUUCUUCUUCUCUCUCUUUUAGAAUCUGCGUCCCGCGUCUCAUUUGUUUUACAUUCUCGCUCCCCAGCCAAAACCUAAACAAAGAUUCAGGUUACAUUUCUUUCAGCUGCGCGCGCGCACGCACGGGCGGGAAGGGAAGCGGAGGUCUCCUGGGUCCCCAAAGCAGUUUAGUUCUCCCGAAGUGCGUGCAUCGGUGGUUCUAUCUAUCAUCAUUUGCGGGAAAGUUUUCCCUUUUAGGACAAAGAAGGGGCGUCUGAGCGACUAGAUCUGAUUUGCGACUAGAUUCGGAAUCAAGGAUACAAGAAAGACGAAAAAGGCUUCCUGGCUCAGAGAAGGAGGACGACGUCAGACCGGGGCUGAAGAUCUAAACGGCUGGUCUGCGUCCACCCUGCUCCUGCGCCCGGGCGGGACUCCGACCUCACCGACCGCGUCAUUGCUUGUGUCCAGCGCGCUCCCGGGGCUAUCCCGCGGUGGGAAGAUAAAUCGGCCGUGCCUUGUUGGUGCCUUCCUAUUGGACUGAAAUUUGUAGAAGUCAGCGCUCAUCAGAUGCAAAUCAGAAGCUGAAGGCCAGCCUAAGGGGUCUACCAACCCCCUCAACCCCCUGGCUCUGUCCACGGAAUGAAUGGAGUAGGGAAGAGAAUCGGAGAGAACUCCAAAGACAUCUGGUCCCGGGCUGUUUUGGAUCGCACACAAGUUCGGAGGCACCAAGGAUGCCCGGCUAAAAACCGAGGGGUGCAGGAAGGGGUUUGGAUCACUUUGAGCCAGGCCUUGGUCCUGGUCUGGAGAAAGAGAUAACCCCCAUGGCUUCCACCUUGGCGAAGAGUUGCUGAUUGGGAAGCAGUGAGCAGCUGCGAAAUUUGUGGUCUUCUAAUGACCCACCUCCUCGGCCAUUCCGAUCAGAGGCAUAAAACUGAUAUUUUCACACUUGGCUCGCACGGCAGGAGCCGUUUAUAAACUAUCCUGCAUCCUCGGAAUAAAAAAAAAAAAGAAAAGAAAAAAAAGGGGGGACUGCGUUGACAGAGGUUUCUGGAGUUCGGCAUUUAAAAGUUAUAGAUCCAAAUUAGAAAAUUAUCACUUUAAGUAGAGAAAGUCCCCUCCAAGUUAACUAUUGAAUUCUGGGCGUGCGUCUGAGCUCCUGGUGCUAACUCUACCUUUGAAGGGACUUACCCUUUCUAAAGCUGUCUGCCUCUGAGGCUGUGGUCCUCCAGAUGGUUGGCAGGGCUAUUCUGAGUCAUGUCUACAAAGCCCUGGGCCAGACAGAGCUAGGAUCUGGGGGAAAACCUGGGCGAUGUAGCCUCAGUGGCCUGAGCUUGGCGGCGCAGGGCUUUCUCCAGCCCAGGAACCGCACCAGGGCGCAGUAGGCCCAAGGACGAGGCAGGGGAAUGUGUGACCUUGUGCCAAUGUCCCUGGAGUGAACUUUGGGCUCUGAUCGCCCUGAAACUGCAUGUGUGACACUUGGCUGUUGGCGGGUGUCUUUGGAUAGUUGCCCACCUAGUUUAUUGUGCUUAGGAAUCUGGAAAGUAAAUGAUGGAGAAAGAGUAUCCAGAGGUACUUGGUGCUAAAAGCGUCAGGCUGGGAACCCGCCCGUGUCCCCAUUAAGUGCUGAAGAUUCUGAGAGUGGCUCACCUUCCAUGGGGCCCAGAAGACUCUUAAAAAAAAAAGACUUCCUCACCCACAUCGUCCAGGGUGCCUGCCGGGGUCUGAGAUCUACUGCUAACCGAGGCUGAGCCAUGGAGUAGAGGAGGGUGAUGUUCUUGCUAGACUUCCCCACGGACACUCGGGACACCCCGGUGUGCAGACCAGCGCCUUUAGAGUCCUGGGCUUGUGCCUCCAUGUCUCAAUGAAUACACACUGGUGACACGCAGAGGGACAGCUAGGUUCUGCUUAACCAGAGCCUGCACGAGUGCAUUAGGUCUUGUUAGAGCAUCAGGAAACCCGGCCUGCUAACGGACAGAGAAAUGAAGCCAGAGAAAAGAACUCACUCGGGGCCACGAGGAAAUUAGGGGAGGGGCAGCCUGGAAGGCUCCUGGGUUAAACGUUAGCGCGCAACUCCAUUAACGCGUUGUGACAUUCACAAGCCCACAAUCUCUCUUUAAGCACGCCUGUGGUUUGGGGCCGCGGGUGUUCUGUGCCUUUUGUCGUGACCAAUAAAGCAGCGGGAACCACAGGAACUUGACUAUAGAAUCCUGCCUGCAAACCCCUAAAGUGCAAGGUGUAGGGGGAACCUGAGAAAAAUCCACCCUCCUCUCCCCUUUCUUUCAGGUUCCAGGCA